UCCCUGGUGGCUGAGAGGGUAAAGCAUCUGCCUGCAACGUGGGAGACCUGGGUUCGAUCCCUGGGUUGGGAA
rnacentral:tRNA from 1 species